CUGGGAGGAGCGUUGGGAGAGGUCAAGGAAAAAGGCUGUCGUUGAGAAGGUCUGAAAAAAAUAAAAUGAAAAACAAGGGAGAUCUCAACAUUUCGAAUCUGUUUGUGUAUGAAAUUGAAAGUUUGUAUGUCAGACUUUAUAUCUUGGAUAUCUUUUUUUUUAAGAUUAAGGAAAAAAAGGCCUUGAAAAAGCACCCCAAAACACUGGAUCUUGGAGUAGAUGGGGACAGAUGGUAUCUGUGAGAUAAGGAUGCUCUCAGGAGAAUGGGUCAGGUGGAAAGACUGGGGGACAGUGGUUCCCCAAGACAGGGG
rnacentral:lncRNA from 1 species